CACAGGACUGCUCAGCUAGCCCUGAUAGGAGAGCAACAGCAAGGCAAAGCACCGAGAGACACACACGGAUCCUGCACACCUGUCUAUGUAUUUCUUACUGCGAUGAAUGUGAAGAAGUUGAACCAGCAGAUAAGGAACAACUUUAAGUAAGAAGUAACAUCCCUCUUACAGCAGGAUGUCACUAAGGAAAGCUAUCACAAGCUGAACACGACAGAGAAGCUUCUUUCCUUCCCAGAGCUUGCAGGACUCUGCUGCUUUAGGUUGCAGCUAGGACCAAACUCCAAGCAGAAAAAAGGAGAACACUGGUAUUACAUAAGCAAAAAGAAAACAGCUGUUUCAGUCCAGACCACCAGAGCCACUGUACUUUGCCAGCACUGCGGAAUGACAUUCAGCUUCAAAACCUUCUGUGUUUCUUCCUUCCCAGUCAUAGAAUAGGAAUAAAUAAUUUAAUCAAGUAUUCAUCAGGAGAGGGGAAUAUCCUAUUAGUGUGUGCCUGCAUUCUUUCCCCCUCACAUCUUUGCAUCUCUUAGAUCUCCAGAAGUGUACAUCGUUCUUUUUAGCUUAGCCAAAAACACAGCUCUAUGAGUUUAAGAAAAAAAGAAAUGACUAUCUGCAAAUUCAUGUACUUUCUAAAACUAGAAGUGAAUACAUACCCAUUAUAAACAUAAUGUUACAGCUUUUAGAAAAGAGCCAGAAAAUUCACACUGCAAAAGAAACUAGAGAAACGGCACUAAAAUACCACUUUUAGAAAAACAGUUACUAGACACUUCUUCAAUUAAAUACCCAUCUCAUCUAAAAGAUACCAGCAAGCACAUAUCACCAUGAUGCAAAAACCAUGAAAAAGGAUUUUGUGGCUAGCAGCUGAUUUGCUGGUAAAGACAUUUACAUCUCUUAAAUUACUUACAAAGGACUACGCUACAGUCAUUCAUCCAAAGAUGGGAGGACAUUGUCCUCAAUCUGACUGACCAAGAACAGAUUUUUAACGGAAAAACUUGAAGAUCAUCCUUAUUAAUUAUUUUCUGAAAGUUGUAAUUUUAUUCUUUUUCAUCAUUCAUGAAGUAGUAUCUUCACUACAAAGAAGGAGAGAACUCUGAUUGAAUUUAGUGAAAGGAUAAAGAUAUAGCAAGAUAAAAAAAUAAAAUAUGCCUCCAGCAACCAGAUGGAAGGAGAAUGAAGGAAAGAAAGACAAAAUAGGUGAUCAUGGCUAUUAGGUGCUCCAGACCAAAGGACUCUUCUUUCAUUCAAUUUAUUUAAUCUAAUUUAAAAAAUAAUCCUUAUUAGGCCACAGAAACUUCUACAAAAUAUUAUCAAAUAUCUCUAAAACAUCUUGAAUCUCUUCUUGUCUAUCACAGUCUUUCUCUAACAAAAAGAACUGAUAAUUGAUCAGUUGAAAGACAUAUAAUAACAUUUAAGUCCUUAAGAUUGUAAAAAAAAAAAAAAGAUCAUAACAAUUCUCACUAGUUUUACUUCCAAAUAAAUUCUUUAAAAGUUAUGCAAGUCAUCACCCCAAUUCUGAAGUGCAUUUUCCCACCAAAACUGAGGGUCAUAUUGUUAAUAAAGUGAAUAACUUGAGAGUAAGUCAAGAGCUCUAUUCAUAAAAAGACCUGUAUAAUCUUUUUAACAAGGGAAAAGUAGUAACUCCUUAAAAAUACAUCAGUUAACCUGCAAACAGAAAAAUAAGCUUUCAAGAAAUACAAUCUGAAUCCAAACAUAAGUUAAUUAAUAUAUUUUUCUUAAUAAAAGGAGUAUACAAUAUAGAACUCAAAAUUAUCUAACACAGUAGUCUGCUGUGUCAUGGAAAUGGCUGGAAAUCUCUUGUGUAGGCUAGGGAAGAAAUACCGGCUGUGUUGAUCAAGGCUAUUGUACCUAACGGGAUUGCCUGCAGGGAGAGGUCAAGCAAGCUGCUCUCUUAUAUCCCUAAGACAGACCGAGAGAUCAACAGAAGUUCAAUACAACUCAGCACCACCACUGUCCUACACAAAAGCUGGAGUCCAAGUCCAAAGGCAGAAGUACUGUAACAGAAAAGAAACUGUAUUUUCAUUGAGAUAGAAGAAAAAAGAAUUGCACCAUGAAAAUUGCUACAUCCUAGUCAGUAAGAGGCUCGAUUCCUGGAUGAGAUCCUUCUGACUGCUGAACCUGAGGUCUCUAUUUCAAUAAAGAUCUUUCCGAUUUUGAUGGAUUGGUAUGGAAAGCAGUCACCUUCAUGUUACCCUUAAUAUGAGGUGAUUCCAAAUAUGAAGUUCCUUUGCCCCCACUGGUCUUUCUAUAGACACUUUCUAUAGACACAUUGUCUAUAGACAAUAAGUGCCCUCACUUUUUAUUUUCCUCAGUAAGGACCACCUCACUGUGCCAUGUUCUUGACCCCUCUCUCUCCUUCCUCCUGCCUUGGUUGGCCUGUAUGUAAUCAAAGACAACUAAUACUACAAGUACUCUGUCCAGAACCUCUUGGAUAAUGACCCUCUCUUUCCCCCACCAACUAUCUAGGUAGGAAAAAACCUUAAAACUUUAAAACACCCUUUGCACCAGAUGAAUAAAUCCAGUAAAACCUAUAGCAAAUCAGAAGGUUUGGGUUUUUUUUUUUACAUUUUGCAGAAUGCUGCAAAGCCUUUAUAAGCAAAUUGUAGAUAAAUGCAUUCUAAAUGCUUUCUUCUGUCUCUUAUUGUACCAAUUGAUCUGGGUAUACAUCCUAAAAACACUGAAAGCACUGCAUAUUUUCAAAUAAUUUAAUUUAUUUAACUUAUUUUGAGGUUUUCUCUUGAAUGUAAACCUUGCUGUAAGAGAAGGGCUCCCAGACAGAAUCAGGGUGGAAAUACAAAAGCUGAGCCAGCACAUAAAAACACACCCCCGAUGAACAACCACAAUCUCAAUGCUGAGCAAAUGUGCAGCUCCCAGGCAGCAGGUCCCAGAGAAGCCACUGAGGGAUUUAGGGCAAAGAAGCAUGGGUCCCUACUAGGUGGCGGACCUUCAAAAUAAACAUUUCCUCACUGGCUGGCCAGCUGCUCAGAAGGCACAUUUCUCAUUAUUAUAAAGAAUUUGCAUGCUAGCUGAGCAAGCCAGAUGGCCAAGAAGUAUAUUCACAUUAAUUAUUUGGGUACAAGAAAAAAAAAGCUCCUUCCUGGCUGCUGUCUGAUCAAAUAUCAAACAUUUCCUCUACACAUGCAGCACGAGAGCAGAACUGUGUCUCACCUGGGAUGGAAAUCAGUGCAGUGGGUGGAGGCAGCCGUGUGGGGGUACAUCAGAAGGAAAGAGUAGCUAUGUUAAGAGAGGCGAGGUGUGAUACAGUCAAGAAUUACUAAAGAAAUUGUGGAAAGAAAAGAAAUACAGCAAAUGCAGUAGGAAGGGAAAGAUGCAACCUUUAUGCAAUCUAUAACAGCCUAACCCCUAGUAUAUAAGUUUUUUAUACACAGUAAAAAUAGUUGGGCAAAAUACUUCCCAGGGAUGUUGUAAAUAUUCUAAGACAUAUAGCAUACUUUCAGGAAACCUGGAGACAUAAUAAAGAACACAGCAGGAUUCAAUAUUUUACAAUUAAGGCACAAAAAAACCCUUAUCAAUGAUACUGUAGCAAGGUAAACCAGUAUCUAUAAAACCAUUGUAAAGUUACAUGCACUUUAAAAUUAAAUCAAAGUGAGUGUCAAGAUUGUGCUUGCUAUUUGGUUAUUUUUCCCCUGUAGUAUAUCAUCGCUGAUUACCUACUCAUUUGCAUGGCAGGAUAAUGUGUUCAUAGUUGUCCAGACACAAAGCCAAACAGGGACUUAAACACAAAGGGGUUGCCUGUUUUGUCCCAAAAUUUGGUGGGAUUUUGGAAGCACCCACAGGACAGAAAAAAACUAGAGAUGACCUACCAGCUCCUGCUUUGGGCGCAGCAUAAAUGGCACAAUCUCUCUAUAUGCUGGCAAGUACAUGGACACAGCACCAGUCCCGAGGGACCCCAGCAUGCACGGGACAGCUGCUAGAGAACACGUGCUACCCUCUGCAGCACUAGGUAACACUGCAAGGGCACAGAGAGACAGUUUAGGUCUCUUGGCCACUCAGGCCCCACCAAGAUAUGGCAACUUCAAACAAGAAUUUUAAGUCCAAACAUACAGGAUAACACUGGAUAAGGAUUCUGCAAAUGCGUCAUCUGAGAAAGAUAUAGUUUCAAGGUAAAAAAACCCCCAGCCUAGAUCUAUACAUCAGUAGUUUCAUCAACACACUAAUAACCCAAGAAUCAAUUAAAACUAUAGAUACAGAAGGGACUCCCAUUUAAUAUAUGUCACAAAUAUGUCAUAAAAGUGCACAAAAGAGGCUUGCUGGAGCAUUUUGUUUUUCCUUACUUAACUUGCUGAAUUUCAAGCAAGAAAAUUUCAUGGUGAGAUUUUCAAAGAAAGAGCCCAAUCCUGACAGAAAACAUGACAGAAUUUCUAUGGAAAUAACUGUAUUAAACUUACCUGCUCACACAUGAAAAUAUAUUGAAAUUUCUGUUGGAGGGGGGCUUUGUCUAGUAUGCAACAACUGCAUACAAUAUGAUUUAAUUUUUCUUUUAUACUUCUGCUUUGAUACUGAACUUCUAGAAUGGAUUUCUUUCACAACUUUAAGAAAACUAUUUGUGCUGAACUUAUUACAUCACAAAAUGCAACCUGCACUUAGAAAUUUGAGAAAGAGUUAGUCUCCUGACAAGAAAUCAACUAGUUAACAGUGACAGAAACCUUUACAGGAGGAACAAGACAAUUAAUGGAAAAUCUUCAGACCAGUGCGCUUUGAACACAAAUGCUUCAACCAGUGCAAUUACUCAACAUUAAGGAUGACUCAACCCUCUCUAAGGAGCAUGACAUCUGUGAUUAUUAUUGAUAAAUACAUCCUUGUCCUGGGCUGAAUUUACAAUUUAUUUCAACAGGAAAAGAAAACAUUUUUGGAGAUUAAAUUAUACCAGUUCUGUCUCCAUGUGUUCUGGAUUAUAUGCAGUUGUGCAGUCCCAAAGGACACGCUGCAGAAGGCAUCCAACUUUGUGUCCCUAUAAAAUAAUUAAAUGAGGACGCAUGUUCUUGAAGAAUUAGAUCAAGGUAUAGUAUGUUUCUUUGGACUGGAAUAAGAUGGAAUGUCUUCUACAUGCUAUCACCACUUAUUAGUAGUAAGUAUGUAUUAACAAUAAAUUAUAUUUGCUUAUAUGAAGAAAAAGCGUUUUUCAACAUUACCUCAAAGCUUCAUCCUUGCCUUGAAUAAGAGAAACAAGUUUUAUGAUAAAAUAUUGAAGGCAAAAGCUGUCAACAUCACUAUUGUACUGUUCGUAAUAAAACCUUAGGCUAACAAAAUCUGUUUAAAAGCCCACAAAAAUGUUCAUGUCUUAUACUGUUUAUCUGCACUUAGUAUUUCUUUUAUGUGUGCAAUUUUAAAAUCAACAACCUGUUUUACCCUCUUCCAUUUCUCUCUGUUGAAUUUCAUCUGCAAACACUGAAUAAUUUUUUAAAUAUGGAAAGGGCAAUGUUUGCUUUUGUGUCUCUUAGGAAUAGUACAAAAUUAUCAAUUUCUAAGAUUUGCACAAAACUUGUAUUUUCAUCAAAUCUGCACUCGUAUAAACUUCAGCUAAAUACACCUUUAGAAGACCAGUUAAAAACCACAGUAUUUUUAAAUAUAUGUUAGAAAGAAAAAAACUGCAAGAGUCUACAUGAAGCUAUCCUCUUGAAUCCCUAACACAGAGACAUGGCAGGGCUGGAGUGGGGGUGAAGUGGUGGGUGACAUCAAAGCCCUUGGACUGGCUAAUGGCCAUCGUGGCCCUCAGCAAAUCUUGCAGCAUCUUGAACACAUCUCUGACCAUCCCGAAUCUCUGUGUGUGAUACACACACAGAGCUCUGCCUUCCCACCCCGACACACCCUUUUCCAGCAGGACCAGCCCAGAAGCCAUUGUGUUUCUCACAGUGAGAUAAGAGCCAGCAUACAGGAUGGAUUCCUCCUGUUUACCUAUAACAGCUGUGUUUGGCAAAAAAUGACAGCAACACAGCAACUGAUUAGAUUCUAAUAAAAGUAAAUUUUCAGUCCACUUAAAAGCUGAAAAAUGUUGAGAAACACACAACUGACGUGAAAAGGGCAGUGUCAGAACUGCCUUUCAUUCCAUAAGAAAAUUCACACCUUAACGGUGCUGUGGUGCUAUGCAUCAAAUCAUAAACGUGUCAUACAGUAAUACUAAUUUUGGGGGGAUUUGGUGGGUGGUUUUGUUUUGGUUUGGGUUUUUUUUUUUUUAGUAGUUGUUGGUUUUUUUUGUUUUGGUUGGUUUUUGUUGUUGUUGUUGAUAACUCAUAUGCACAUAUUUGCUCAAGCUCAACAAGUCUAACUGGGAAAAAUAACAUUAAAUCUAACCUUUUACAACUUAUUUUUGCUCUUUGCAUCCCACUCAGACUAGAAGUCUUUUUAUUAUAUUCCAGAAACUAUGAGAUAUUUUGGUGAACAAAGACAUUAGCUACACUGGAGUCCUCAAGUUAAACAGCAUAAUCUGAUUUUACAAAAGGAGGGUAAAAUGGGUACUGAAAUUUAUUUUUGUGACUAAAACCUUUCUUUUCAUAAAUCACCACACACUUUUGUGUAAGGAUUGCUCCCGUCAUUUGUUUUCCUACCAAGACUUUUUUUUGGGAGGGGGAGCUGAAGCAGUGCCACUUAUGGGAAGCACAAAGUACACUUUUAUAAACGACUUUUCUUUGUAUAAAAGUCAUAGCAAACCAAUUUGGUUGAACAAAAUAACUUUGCUGCACCUGAACUCUAAGCUGGAAUGCCAGAAGUUUAGAGAUAAGGUAACAGGUGCAUAAGAAGGAUUAAUGCAUUGGUGUCAAUUCUUUACAAGAAUACCCAGCAGAUAAGACUGCCCGAGAGGAGAUUCUGCUGUUCUUCCUGGCUUUUCCUGUUGCUCUCUCCUCUGUGCUUCUUCCAUCUUUCCACAGAUGUGGUCACCACUGCUUAGCAACCAAGGGGACACGAUGACACAGAGGAAAAUCCUCCAUCUAGAGCUCAUCCUGCUCCACCUACAGAGCAGCAAACUACCUCUCACAGCAAAUUAGGAAGAAUAUUAUUUCCUUGCUACCGCAGAGGUACCAAGUGAGACCUCUUAUGUAGCUUCAUGUAAGACGAAUUUUCUUUCCUUGGUAGGUGCACAGGAGAGAACUUAAGCUGGAGGAGAACCUGAGACUUGUCGGUAAAACAGCUCCCCAAAUGCCCAAAUGCUAAUGCCGGGAAAAUAAAUACAUAAAUAAAUAUAAGGAAAGAAAAAAAAAAAAAAAAAAGGAAAAAAAAGAACGUUCCGAUACCGCGGGGAUGGGAAAAGAAAAGCAAAGACAAGAGACUCAACCGAAUUCCCUACCUACUUUUACUCAAGUGCUCCAGCCAUCCUCCAGGGAGAGUCCAGGCAGCUUAGACCGAAGUCCGGCUAAAACCCUGCAAACCCGCCGGCGGAAAAGCCCCACUCACCUCUCCCAUGCCACAGCAAUCCUUUCUUCUGUCAGUAAUGAAAUAUUGCUGUGUCAGGAGCUGCUUCACUGAUGUUUCUGCAGUGCACCAAGAUCAGCAACUUCCUCAGCAGUCCAAAAUAAAUUUUCAUUGGAAUUUUUAAAUAAAGAUGCAUUCAACCAUUCUGAACAACAUGGCACUUCGAUCUGUUUUAUGGACUUCUGUCACACGCAAAUCAGAGAGUUCCCUUACUGGUACUAGAAGAUAAAUUCCUCCAUUCAGUGAAAUUGCAUUAUUUUCACAGAUAAAAUUAUAGACAUUUAUAAGAACAUUAAACAGUAUCAUUUACUCAUCAUGCUUUCAACACAGUAUGAGUAGUUGAUUGCAUCAUGAAAGAAAGGACAAGUUGUAGUACUUAGGCAGAAGGCAAACUGUGGAGCAAGUUUGAGGGGACAAACUGGAAGGAAGACUGGAAGGAAAAUUAAAGAAUAAUACACUUUUUUUUCAUAGGAAACAGAAGAGAUGAGAAAAAAAAAUUCAUGUAAUUGGGAACUUUUUUGAGAACACACUUCAAAAUUACUUCAAAACUGGUCAGACUUUUCAAAUUUCAUACUGCUGGGAAAGUUUUCACUCUGAAUCGAAGAGAAAACCCAGAAACUGUGAAGCUUCCCAUGGGUAUAAAAUUUAUUCUGUCUCAUUUAAUUUCAUUUAAUUUCAUCCCAUCUUUGUAACUCCUUCUGCUGAUUUAAUUCCUAGCACUGAUGAAAAUCUCCUAGCAGAGUUUCUGAUGCCAGGAAAAAACCAAAAAAAUCCACUACUGAAGUCUUCGUUCGGCUGUGAUCCCUAAUUUUCAGAACACUGCAUCGACAACUACAACCACAUCAUGAGCACGAGUGCUUAGACAUGUGUUGUUAAAAGGCUACCUAGAAAUGAAGAACAGAUGAAAACAAGGCUAAGGAUGCAAGAAUCUUCACUGACAUCAUGGCAGCAGGAAUCCCUCAAGGAGAAGUCCUCAUUCAGACUUUCAUGCUGGACAUCUUCUUGAGUUUUUACAGUAAUUUUAAGUAGUGGUACAUGCAGAAUCUACUGAGCAGAAAGAAUGCAAAUUUACCCAUGAAUUUACCAAAUUAAACCUGGAACAAAGGAAAAGCACACAAUCUCCACAGAAAAUUGUACUACUCUCAGUGGCUUUGAUAAACACAAUAUAAUCAUCUUUUUUGUUACAAUGGCCUCAGAAGGUAGGAUUAAGCAGUUUCAGAUGAGUCAUAUUAUUUAGAAUCACAUUUUGAUUAUGUGAUUUAUCCUCCCAGCAAUUCGGACUGCAUAACAUCCACUGUCUGUUUAACCAAAAUGGACUAUCUGAUGGUGGAUACUUUUAUACUGAGUUAAAUUGACUGUGCAGCUGUUUAAACACUGAAGGCACUCAAGCGACUGCUUAAGCUAUUAUUGCUAGAGGUACUGCAUUCUGAAUCAAGCUCUAGCUAGGAAAGAAAUACCUUUCAUAUGAUUUUCAUGAAAAAAUACUCUGAGACAGAGUUACUGGGUGAGUACCACUAAAAAUACGGUUUGUAAAAAGAUUACUUAAAAUUAUACCAUUUAGGUCUGUUAUGAAUAACAUUUCCCCAGGGUUUACAGGUCUCUGUCGUGAAUUUUUCAUAAUGCCUAUAUAAGAAACUUAAGGAACAUGAUCUACUUGGAAAGAAAAAAAGUAUAUUAAAUAAUAACAACAAACCUACUAUAUUUAAUCCUAUAUUUAAUAAAUUACCUUCUUCUAAAUCAGUAAUGAUCAAGGUGCUUUGACAACUUGGUUGUGUUAUUUGCAGGAAGCGGAACUAUUUUGAAACAAAACCAGUCUUCACUGAAAAGCAUUCAUAAAUCUCAUUAAAGAGAUCAAAAUUAAAAACUGUUUAAUUUCCUAAUUAAAAACAGCCUGUGUAUUAAAUUUAGCAAUAGUAGUAAGAGCAUGUGUCCCUAAAAAAACCUCAGAAUAAAUGGUGAUUUUAUUACCUUCAUGUUCCUCACAGGAACAUAAUGAUACAGAAUUCAUUCCCCUACAGUUUGAUGUCAAUGAUGAUCCUCCAUUAAUCACUCAAUUUUACAAGUGUUUUUGCAUAUGUGUAAACUGCACAACGCUGUUUAUGUGGGAAAAUUAUAGUUUAAAUAAUAACAAACCCGCAUUUUAUAAAAGAUAUAUUCUCUUGAUUUGUUUUACUGUCAUGAAAUGGCUGACUACAAGGAAAAUAUAUGCACAGUUUUCCAAGUUGCCUUCCUGUUUUAGAAAAUGUAACUGUUAUUCUUUAUGAUUAUUGCAAUAACAAAUAACUUUGCUUUUAAUCUGAAGGGGUUAUCUAGGGCUUAGAUAAAGGAAAUCAAUGUCUGAAGCAGAUUUGUAAAUGUUUAGUAUUUGAAAAACAAACACCUCUUUUUUUCUUUUUUUUUUUUUUUUUUUUUUGGUUAAAUAGUUUGGAGUAUAAAUAAAAACCUCGGACACAGGAUCUACAUAGAAACUAGUCCUCCUGCCUGAAAAAUACAUAUCUUCAUUUCUUAUUUUUUGAAGACAUGAAUUCACUAAAAUACAGUACAAUUAUAAGUAAUAAAUAUUUAAGACAAUAUUGACAAUUUCAAGGUUGAAAAUGAUAAAUUUCAAAAUUUUUCAUAUUAUCUAUUUUUCUAAUUUGAAAUUAUCAAAUUUUUUCUUACUGUUGACAUGGUCUAACAGAUGUGAUGUGAACUAUGCAAAGUAUUUCGUAUUCACCAUGUACUUGGUCAUGUACUGUAACUUCAAAUGGACACAAUGGCACCUAAGCAAGAUUGAAAUGUUAACAUUUGUAAAAAAAAUUGAAUCAAUUUAUGAAACUUACAAAAAUAUUGUGCUAUGUCUGGGUUUCAGCUGGGAUAGACUUAAUUUUUUCAUAGUAGCUGUUUCAAUCCUGUGCUUCCAAUUGAAUAUGAAAACAAUUUUGUCAACACACUGAUGUUUUGGUUGUUGCUAAGUGGUGCUUACCCAUAGCCAAGGACUUUUCAGUUUCCCAUGCUCCAUCAGUGAGAAGCUGCACAAGGAGCUGGGGGGAGCACGGCCAGGACAGCUGACCCAGACCGGCCAAAGGGAUAUUCCAUAGCGUGGGAGGUGACACUCAGUGCAGAAACUGGGGGGAGUUGGCCAGGAGGGGCCGAUCACUGCUCAGGGAUGGGCUGGGCAUUGAUCAGCAGGUGGUGAGCAAGUGUGUCUUGUUUCUCUUGGGUUUUACUCCUCUCUCUCUCUCAUUUUCAUAAUAAUUAUUAUUAUUGUUGUUAUUAUUAUUAUAAUUAAUGUUGUUAUAAUUUUUCCCAUUAUUAAACUGUUCUUGU